rnacentral:rRNA from 1 species
GACGAACGCUGGCGGCGUGCUUAACACAUGCAAGUCGAACGGAAAGGCCCUGCUUUUUUUGGGUGCUCGAGUGGCGAACGGGUGAGUAACACGUGAGUAACCUGCCCUUGACUUUGGGAUAACUUCAGGAAACUGGGGCUCAUACCGGAUAGGCGCUCCUGCUGCAUGGUGGGGGUUGGAAAUUUUCGGCGGUUGGGGAUGGACUCGCGGCUUAUCAGCUUGUUGGUGGGGUAGUGGCUUACCAAGGCUUUGACGGGUAGCCGGCCUGAGAGGGUGACCGGCCACAUUGGGACUGAGAUACGGCCCAGACUCCUACGGGAGGCAGCAGUGGGGAAUAUUGCACAAUGGGCGGAAGCCUGAUGCAGCAACGCCGCGUGCGGGAUGACGGCCUUCGGGUUGUAAACCGCUUUCGCCUGUGACGAAGCGUGAGUGACGGUAAUGGGUAAAGAAGCACCGGCUAACUACGUG